GGUUCUCUUCCUACCUUUGUUUUGGUCGAUCGUGGAGGUACUCUAUUUUUUUUCCUCAAAAUUUUCGCCUUAUAAGAAAAAUUAAUCUGUGGUUUUGUUUAUUUGAGCUAUAAUUUGUUUGUUGUAGGGUUGAACGAUGAGGAAUUUUUGUGUUGUUUUAGCUAAUUUGAGUAAUUCCAAAUUGGGGAAUUUUUAAUAUUAGGUUUAAAGUUCAAUUUGUUGGAUUUGGUUUAUUUAUGGGGCAAUAAUUUAUUUGUUAGUUUGGGAUUUGAGGGUUAAUUGAUUUGGUUUUUCCAUCUACUUGGAUUUAUGUUAUUAUUUUUUAACUAAUUCAUUUAAAUAAAUUUAGCUUUAUCAGUUUCCAUUGAUUUCAUUAUCAUUAUUUAUAUAUUUAUUCAUUCAUUUAUGUAUUAAUAUACUUGUUUUCAGCUUUGCUUUAAGUUGUUUGGACGGAUGUCUUUUUCUCUUUUUAUCUUACUAGUUGUUUUCUGAAAUUAGGUCCACUCUUUUAGGUUCAUUUCCCUCCUUUCAUAGGGAUAUAGCCUUAGAGUUGUCUACAAAAGUAGAGCUAAGUUUCUCUGAUUCUUGGUUUUGCUUUAAGUACCAGUUUUAGACUCAAUAUCCGAACAUGUGUACGGUGAUAUGAUUUUUCAAAAUCCUUCUAGGUACAUGAAAAAAAUUUGAAUAUAUACGUGUCAAACACAUUCCUGUAUUUGAAAUUGAAACUCAUACCCGAGUCCAAGUGAACAUAUAUGUUUUGAGUAUGGUUGGUUCUCAAGGCAGAUGUAUGAUAAUAAAAAUGAAUUUCAAAAUGCUGGUUAUCCAAGAAUUUCGUAGUAAUGGCUUAUAGUUUUCUCCAGAUUGGAUAAAGUGGUUUAGAGCUAAGUUUCUCUGACUCUCAGUUUUGCCUGAAGUACCCGUUUUGGACUCAAUAUCGGAACAUAUGUGCGGUAAUAUGUCUUUUCAAAGAUCCUCUAGGUACAUGAAAAGAAAUUGAAUAUAUCAGUGUCAAACACAUACCUAUAUUUGAAACUCAUGCCCAAGUCCAAGUGAACAUAGAUUAAGAGUGUAUGAUUUGAGUUUGGUUGGUUCUUAAACAGAUGGAUGAUAAUAAAAAUGAGUUUCAAAAUAAUGGUGAUCUAAGCAUUUCGUAGUAAUGGAUUAGAUAAUUCAGUUACAUUACUACAAUGCAAUUACGCUGUUAAUGAUCCUCUGGAUAUCCGUUUGAAGUACCCGUUUUAGACUCAAUAUCCGAACAUGCAUAUGGGGACACAUGACUUUUCAAAGAUCCUCCAGAUACAUGAAAAACAAAAACAAACUUAUCCGUGUCAAACAUGUGCCUGCAUUUGAAACUCAUACCCGAGUCCGAGUGAACAUAGAUUUGAGUGUAUGAUUUGAGUUUGGUUGGUUCUCGAACAGAUGUAUGGUGAUAAAAAUGAGGUUCAAAAUGCUGGUUGAUCUAAGCCUAGGUAGUAAUGGCGUAUAGUUACUUCCGGAUUAGAUAAUUCAGUUACAUUACUAUAAUGUGAUUACACCGUUAAAGAGAUGAGAAAAAUCUGUAGCGUUGCCUAUAUACGGACUCCAGUUGCUGCUAAGGUUGUAAAAUUUGCUUAUUGUCCUUGAUUGAGUUAUGGUCUUCGAUGUAAUUUUUCUUUAGUUUUUGAUAUAUAUAUAUUUGCGGAGACUGCAUUUAGCGCCUUUUUUCUUAUUAUUUUUCAAGAUUGCUUCUUUGCUUUAAAGGUUUGGAAUGUAUGGCAAGCAGGUGCUUCUGCAGUGCUUGUUGCGGAUGAUAUUGAAGAAGCAUUAAUAACCAUGGACAAUCCUGAAGAGGACAGUUCAUCUGCCAAAUACAUUGAAAAUAUAACAAUUCCAUCUGCCCUUAUCGAGAAAACUUUUGGUGAAACUCUAACCCUGAUGAUCGUGACGAGUACGAGUUAUGAACCAACUGCAAUGAUGAACGUGGAGUUAAAUGUGAUAUGCUGAUGGCAUUUGUGAAGGAUUUCAAGGGUGCUUCUCAGAUUCUCGAAAAAGCUGGCUAUACGCAGUUCACACCCCAUUAUAUAACUUGGUACUUCUCUCAAGCUUUCACCCUAAGCCGACAGUGCAAAUCUCAAUGCAUCAACCGCGGAAGAUACUGUGCACCGGAUCCUGAACAAGGUUUUAGCUCAGGUUAUGAAGGGAAAGAUGUAGUUAUUGAGACCUUAAGGCAGCUUUUUGUUUUCAAAGUGGCAAAUGAUACUGGUCGAUCGUGGAGGUACUCUUUUUUCUGUUUUCUUUUUUGUCAAAAUUUUCGCCUUAUAAGAAAAAUUAAUUUGUGGUUUUGUUUAUUUGAGCUAUAAUUUGUUUGUUGUAGGGUUGACCGAUGAGGAAUUUUUGUGUUGUUUUAGCUAAUUUGAGUAAUUCCAAAUUGGGGAAUUUUUAAUAUUAGGUUUAAAGUUCAAUUUGUUGGAUUUGGUUUAUUUAUGGGGCAAUAAUUUAUUUGUUAGUUUGGGAUUUGAGGGUUAAUUGAUUUGGUUUUUCC
rnacentral:lncRNA from 1 species